rnacentral:rRNA from 1 species
UUAAAGUCACAACGGUGAAAGAUGAGCAUGCGUCCCAUUAGUUAGUUGGUAAGGUAACGGCUUACCAAGACUUCGAUGGGUAGGGGUCCUGAGAGGGAGAUCCCCCACACUGGUACUGAGACACGGACCAGACUCCUACGGGAGGCAGCAGUGAGGAAUAUUGGUCAAUGGGCGCAAGCCUGAACCAGCCAUGCCGCGUGCAGGAUGACGGUCCUAUGGAUUGUAAACUGCUUUUGUACGAGAAGAAACACUGCUUCGUGAAGCAGCUUGACGGUAUCGUAAGAAUAAGGAUCGGCUAACUCCGUGCCAGCAGCCGCGGUAAUACGGAGGAUCCAAGCGUUAUCCGGAAUCAUUGG